CAUUUCUAUGAAAAUGUUGGCAUUAAGCCUUUUAAUGAGGGGCACAAUCUGCUACCAUAAUAUUCUUUUAAUGGGAAAUCAAGUAGGAAUGGAUAAUUGUGACUUUUCUAGGAAUGGAGACCACUGAAAAUGAGACAGAAACUAGUGUGUAUAAAUACAUUACAGUAUGGGUGUGGAUGUUCACACUCCACACCAUGAAUGCAAUGAAAGGAUCUCUAAUCACUGUAGAUAGUGCUUUGCAUGUUAUGUUUCCAGUCUGGGUAUAGCUGGCAUCUUAUUAACAAAAGGAAUUCAUCACUUCUGUUUGGAAUCAUUCUCUAUCAGAACCCUCAACCCUGCAUCCUACCAUCCUGGGCUUGCACUGCAAGUUACAUGAUCCCUGAGCUGACCACUUUGGCUUGAAUCCCUGGAAGGAGAAAGGAGAGAGAGAGCAACUAGUUCAGACACAAGCAUCUAGUUCAGCUUUGGGUUGAAGAUAGCAAGUGCAUCUCUGGGCAACUACUGCAGCUG
rnacentral:lncRNA from 10 species